rnacentral:rRNA from 1 species
GACGAACGCUGGCGGCGUGCUUAACACAUGCAAGUCGAACGGUGAAGCGCUUUCCUUUUUGGUUGGUGUGGAUGAGUGGCGAACGGGUGAGUAACACGUGAGUAACCUGCCCCCUUCUUCUGGAUAACCGCAUGAAAGUGUGGCUAAUACGGGAUAUUCUGCGCCUGCUGCAUGGUGGGUGUGGGAAAGAUUGUGCUUUUGGGUGUUUUCGGUGGGGGAUGGGCUCGCGGCCUAUCAGCUUGUUGGUGGGGUGAUGGCCUACCAAGGCGGUGACGGGUAGCCGGCCUGAGAGGGUGGACGGUCACACUGGGACUGAGACACGGCCCAGACUCCUACGGGAGGCAGCAGUGGGGAAUAUUGCACAAUGGGCGCAAGCCUGAUGCAGCGACGCCGCGUGAGAGAUGGAGGCCUUCGGGUUGUGAACCUCUUUCGCCAGUGAAGCAGGCCUGCUCCUUGUGGGUGGGUUGACGGUAGCUGGAGAAGAAGCGCCGGCUAACUACGUG